CAAUACAACGCUCUGAAUCAUAUCGAUAAAAGUGUGAGAAAUU
rnacentral:guide_RNA from 1 species